rnacentral:rRNA from 1 species
CACACGACUCUCGGCAACGGAUAUCUCGGCUCUCGCAUCGAUGAAGAACGUAGCGAAAUGCGAUACCUGGUGUGAAUUGCAGAAUCCCGCGAACCAUCGAGUCUUUGAACGCAAGUUGCGCCCGAGGCCACCAGGCUAAGGGCACGCCUGCCUGGGCGUCACGC